AGGGGGUUUUGAUCCUGGCUCAGGAUCAACGCUGGCGGCGUGCCUAACACAUGCAAGUCGAGCGCGAAAGUGGACUUCGGUCCACGAGUAGAGCGGCGAACGGGUGAGUAACGCGUGGGUGAUCUACCCUCGAGUGGGGAAUAACACCGGGAAACUGGUGCUAAUACCGCAUGACACCUUCGGUUCGUUCCGAAGGUCAAAGCCGGGGACCGUAAGGCCUGGCGCUUGAGGAGGAGCCCGCGUCCGAUUAGCUUGUUGGCGGGGUAAUGGCCCACCAAGGCUUCUAUCGGUAGCCGGCCUGAGAGGGCGGACGGCCACACUGGGACUGAGACACGGCCCAGACUCCUACGGGAGGCAGCAGUGGGGAAUUUUCCGCAAUGGGGGAAACCCUGACGGAGCAACGCCGCGUGGAGGAUGAAGGCCCUCGGGUCGUAAACUCCUGUCGAUCGGGAAGAAUGCGUCCGACUUAAUACGUCGGUUCGUUGACUGUACCGGUGGAGGAAGCCACGGCUAACUCUGUGCCAGCAGCCGCGGUAAGACAGAGGUGGCAAGCGUUGUUCGGAAUUACUGGGCGUAAAGGGCGCGCAGGCGGUUCGUCAAGUCCCGUGUGAAAUCCCCCGGCUCAACUGGGGAACUGCGCGGGAAACUAACGGGCUUGAGUUCGGGAGAGGAAAGCGGAAUUCCGGGUGUAGCGGUGAAAUGCGCAGAUAUCCGGAGGAACACCAGUNGGCGAAGGCGGCUUUCUGGACCGACACUGACGCUGAGGCGCGAAAGCUAGGGGAGCGAACGGG
rnacentral:rRNA from 1 species